AGUGAACGCUGGCGGUAGGCCUAACACAUGCGAGUCGAACGGCAGCACAGUAAGAGCUUGCUCUUACGGGUGGCGAGUGGCGGACGGGUGAGGAAUACAUCGGAAUCUACUUUUUCGUGGGGGAUAACGUAGGGAAACUUACGCUAAUACCGCAUACGACCUACGGGUGAAAGCAGGGGAUCUUCGGACCUUGCGCGAUUGAAUGAGCCGAUGUCGGAUUAGCUAGUUGGCGGGGUAAAGGCCCACCAAGGCGACGAUCCGUAGCUGGUCUGAGAGGGUGAUCAGCCACACUGGAACUGAGACACGGUCCAGACUCCUACGGGAGGCAGCAGUGGGGAAUAUUGGACAAUGGGCGCUAGCCUGAUCCAGCCAUACCGCGUGGGUGAAGAAGGCCUUCGGGUUGUAAAGCCCUUUUGUUGGGAAAGAAAAGCAGCAGGUUAAUACCCCGCUGUUCUGACGGUACCCAAAGAAUAAGCACCGGCUAACUUCGUG
rnacentral:rRNA from 1 species